AAUGAACGCUGGCGGCAGGCCUAACACAUGCAAGUCAAACGGAUCCUUCGGGAUUAGUGGCGGACGGGUGAGUAACGCGUGGGAACAUACCCAAAGGUACGGAAUAACAACGGGAAACUUCGAGUCAUACCGUAUGUGCUCACAAUGGGAAAGAUUUAUCGCCUUUGGAUUGGUCUGCGCCGGAUUAGGUAGUGGGUGGGGUAAUGGCCUACCAAGCCGAACACCCAUAGCUUGUUUGAGAGGAUGCUCAGCCACACUGGGACUGAGACACGGCUCCGACUCCUACGGGAGUCAGCACUGGGGACACUUAGGCCUUUUGCGAAACCAUGAUAUAGCCAUGCCGCGUGAUCGAUGACGGCCUUAGGGUUGUCAAGAUCUUUCAGGUGCGAAGAUAAUGACUGUCCCACCAGGCUCCUCACCGGCUAACUCCGUGCCAGCAGUCGACGUAA
rnacentral:rRNA from 1 species